UCCGAGUUGUAAUUUGAAGAUUGUAACCUUGGGGUUGGCUCUUGUCUAUGUUUCUUGGAACAGGACGUCACAGAGGGUGAGAAUCCCGUGCGAUGAGAUGCCCAAUCCUAUGUAAGGUGCUUUCGAAGAGUCGAGUUGUUUGGGAAUGCAGCUCUAAGUGGGUGGUAAAUUCCAUCUAAAGCUAAAUAUUGGCGAGAGACCGAUAGCGAACAAGUACAGUGAUGGAAAGAUGAAAAGAACUUUGAAAAGAGAGUGAAAAAGUACGUGAAAUUGUUGAAAGGGAAGGGUUUGAGAUCAGACUCGAUAUUUUGUGAGCCUUGCCUUCGUGGCGGGGUGACCCGCAGCUUAUCGGGCCAGCAUCGGUUUGGGCGGUAGGAUAAUGGCGUAGGAAUGUGACUUUGCUUCGGUGAAGUGUUAUAGCCUGCGUUGAUGCUGCCUGCCUAGACCGAGGACUGCGAUUUUAUCAAGGAUGCUGGCAUAAUGAUCCCAAACCGC
rnacentral:rRNA from 1 species